rnacentral:lncRNA from 1 species
UUUUUUUCUAUAAAUUCUAAUUUAUCCUAUUAUUUUAUUUUUAUUUUUUUAAAUUUUGUGAUUUAAUUCAUGUUAGUCCUAAUUCAUGUCAACCCGACUUUCUAUUUUUUCGUCUCUUUUAUCUUUUUUUUUUUCCUCCUCUUUUUUUUUCUAUUUUUUUUCUUUUCUUAUCACGACGAAGAAAAAAGGGGUGAAAAAAAAGGAGAAUAAUAUUAAUCUAAUUUUGUUUGAUUUGAUUUAUUCUUUCG